rnacentral:rRNA from 1 species
GGCACGGGGGGCCUACGGGGAGGCAGCAGUGGGGGAAUUUUGGACAAUGGGGGCAACCCUGAUCCAGCCAUUCCGCGUGAGUGAAGAAGGCCUUCGGGUUGUAAAGCUCUUUUGUCCGGAACGAAACGGUUAGCGUGAAUAUCGCUGACUACUGGACGGUACCGGAAAGAAUAAGCACCGGCUAACUACGUGCC